GCCGUGGCUCAGUGGAAGAGCAUGUGCUUUGCAUGCAGAAGGUCCCAGGUCCAAUUCCUGGCAUCUCUA